GGGGUUGUGGCUCAGUGGUAGAGUGCUUGCCUAGCAUGCGUGAGACAGUGGGUUUGAUCCCCAGCACCA
rnacentral:tRNA from 1 species